UCUCCUCGAGGCGAAGGGAAACCGAGACGGGACCCGCACGCACCCGCACACACUACCGACUUUUCCCCCCUUAUUUUUGCCCCUUUUUUCCCCUCUCUGAUGACGUGACCGGCCUUUCUUCCCCGCGGAGAGGCCUAUGCACGCCCCCCUUGGUUUCGAUCCGUCGUUUUUUCCCUAGGCCUACGGCGAGGGUUUUUUUUUUUAGACAUAGGCCUUGGGUGAUGUCUUAAAGGAGAAGACGCCGCCAGGAAGGUUUCUUGUGUCAACUUCAAGGCUUGGAUCACACGACCUUUGCUAGUCCUGAUGUAUGGAUCAUCAAGUAUAGACAACAGCAUGGACUUCGAGAGCCCUGAUGUCGAGAGAGAAUUUCCAGGUCUCUAUGGCUCUGAGUCUUCGAGGAGAAGCGACAGUGACUUGUAAGCACGUGACUGAGUGGCAGAGGUGAUAUGCUUGAUGGUCUAAUUUGCAUGUCACUCAUAAGCUAUAGCAGGUAAUGUAGUCUUUACCUUUACUGG